UAUAACCGAAGUACUUAGCAACCGAUAACGGCCGCCUUAGCUCUCCGUAUAUGGUAAUAACUCGGUUAACCGCUUAUGAUUGGUGGUUAACCCGUUGAACCGCCAUUCCCCCGACGACCUACGCCCGCGUUUGGCCGUCAUUCUGCAAGAUGUCACACAGACCUCUGGCCGCGUCGCUUUUUCGCGGUGUCUGUGCCUUUUGCUUUUGAGUUCCGGGCCUUGUCAUAUUAUUUAUUAUAUAUCGUACUUGUCCGAUAUUGUGAAAGAACAGUUACGGUGAAAGUAAACCUUGUGUUGAUUGUAAUUUCCCCACUUUUGGGAACACAGUUCCGGCUGUUGACGACUGGGAGCAGCGGAUCCGGAAUCUGGACAUUUGCGAAAACACCGAUUGGGUGAACUGCCUACAACAUCACGGCGCUUAUCAACGCUCCCGUUCGAGCCGCAGUUGCUACCUGCGAGUGCAGAGUCCACAUCUGGCCGCGCGCAUCUACCUACAUACCUAGAAGGGAAGUGUCGUUGUUGCGGAAUUCCAAGUGCUUUGUUCUAAAUAUAGAUUAAGUUAUAGACUGUUCAACGUAGGUAUAUUAUUUAGAUUCUGCGACCUGUUAUUCCAAUUUUUCAUAGUAAUUAAAUUAGUUAAGUAGUAAA